UACAGAGGUGGCAAGCGUUGUUCGGAUUUACUGGGCGUAAAGGGUGCGUAGGCGGCCUCGCAUGUCGGAUGUGAAAUCCCACGGAUCAUCUGUGGAACGGCAUUCGAAACUGCGGGGCUAGAGUGCGGGAGAGGAAGGUGGAAUUCUUGGUGUAGCGGUGAAAUGCGUUGAUAUCAAGAGGAACGCCGGUGGUGAAGACGACCUUCUGGAACGCAACUGACGCUGAGGCACGAAAGCUAGGGGAGCAAACAGG
rnacentral:rRNA from 1 species